ACUCCUACGGGAGGCAGCAGUGGGGAAUAUUGCACAAUGGGCGCAAGCCUGAUGCAGCCAUGCCGCGUGUAUGAAGAAGGCCUUCGGGUUGUAAAGUACUUUCUAGCAGUGAGGAAGGUGGAUAUGUUAAUAGCAUAUUCUAUUUGUACGUUAGCUGCAGAAGAAGCACCGGCUAACUCCGUGCCAGCAGCCGCGGUAAUACGGAGGGUGCGAGCGUUAAUCGGAAUUACUGGGCGUAAAGCGCAUGCAGGUGGUUGUUAAGUCAGAUGUGAAAGCCCGGGGCUCAACCUCGGAAUUGCAUUUGAAACUGGCAAACUAGAGUACUGUAGAGGGGUAGAAUUUCAGGUGUAGCGGUGAAAUGCGUAGAGAUCUGAAGGAUACCGGU
rnacentral:rRNA from 1 species